GACGAACGCUGGCGGCGUGCCUAAUACAUGCAAGUUGAGCGCUGAAGGUUGGUCCUUGUACCAACUGGAUGAGCAGCGAACGGGUGAGUAACGCGUGGGGAAUCUGCCUUUGAGCGGGGGACAACAUUUGGAAACGAAUGCUAAUACCGCAUAAAAACUUUAAACACAAGUUUUAAGUUUGAAAGAUGCAAUUGCAUCACUCAAAGAUGAUCCCGCGUUGUAUUAGCUAGUUGGUGAGGUAAAGGCUCACCAAGGCGAUGAUACAUAGCCGACCUGAGAGGGUGAUCGGCCACAUUGGGACUGAGACACGGCCCAAACUCCUCCGGGAGGCAGCAGUAGGGAAUCUUCGGCAAUGGACGAAAGUCUGACCGAGCAACGCCGCGUGAGUGAAGAAGGUUUUCGGAUCGUAAAACUCUGUUGGUAGAGAAGAACGUUGGUGAGAGUGGAAAGCUCAUCAAGUGACGGUAACUACCCAGAAAGGGACGGCUAACUACGUG
rnacentral:rRNA from 1 species